UACGUAGGUGGCAAGCGUUGUCCGGAUUUACUGGGCGUAAAGGGCGUGCAGGCGGUUUGUUAAGUGCAGGGUGAAAGCUCCCGGCUCAACUGGGAGAGGUCCUUGCAUACUGGCAAACUCGAGGGAGGCAGAGGAAAGUGGAAUUCCAGGUGUAGCGGUGAAAUGCGUAGAUAUCUGGAGGAACACCGGUGGCGAAGGCGGCAUCCUGGACCAAUACUGACGCUGAGGAGCGAAAGCCAGGGGAGCAAACGGG
rnacentral:rRNA from 1 species